GCGCGAAAACUUUACAAUGCGAGAAAUCGUGAUAAGGGAACCCCGAGUGCCCGUAAAUUCGGGCUGUCCAUCAGUGCAAAAAACUGGUGAAGAAAGAGCCGGGCAAGACCGGUGCCAGCCGCCGCGGUAAUACCGGCGGCUCGAGUGGUGGCCACUAUUACUGGGCUUAAAGCGUCCGUAGCUUGGUUGUUAAGUCUUCUGGGAAAUCCAUCGGCUCAACCGAUGGGCGUUCAGGAGAUACUGGCAACCUAGGGACCGGGAGAGGUGAGAGGUACUCCAGGGGUAGGAGUGAAAUCCUGUAAUCCUUGGGGGACCACCUGUGGCGAAGGCGUCUCACUAGAACGGCUCCGACAGUGAGGGACGAAAGCUGGGGGAGCAAACCGGAUUAGAUACCCGGGUAGUCCCAGCCGUAAACGAUGCGCGUUAGGUGUAUCGGUGACCACGAGUCACCGAGGUGCCGAAGAGAAAUCGUGAAACGUGCCGCCUGGGAAGUACGGUCGCAAGGCUGAAACUUAAAGGAAUUGGCGGGGGAGCACCACAACAGGUGGACG
rnacentral:rRNA from 1 species